ensembl:misc_RNA
CCUUCAGCGCUCCCCUGGGCCUGUCUUUCCAAAUUUGAGUAUAAUAAAUAUAAAAGGCAUCCCAACGCGGGGCAGGGGGCCACGUGAUCGCUCCACGCAAGCCACUUG